CUUUGUAUUCUUCCACAGCUUUCUUGAACUGCAACUUCGUCUUAAAUUGUUUACUCUCUUGUUGAUGUUUAAUCUUGCAUGUGAGAGUUUUAAUAAUAGGGAUAUUGUUUGCGGUUCAAUAAAGCUGUGGGAAGAUACGAACA
rnacentral:pre_miRNA from 1 species